rnacentral:rRNA from 1 species
GCCAGCAGCCAUAUCACUCUGCAACUCACAACUGGCAAUCCACUGAAGCUAAGCAGGUGUGAGCCUGGUCAGUACCUGGAUGGAAGACCUCCUGGAAAAAACUAAGGAUGCUGCUGGGA